rnacentral:rRNA from 1 species
AACGAACGCUGGCGGCAUGCCUAACACAUGCAAGUCGAACGAGACCUUCGGGUCUAGUGGCGCACGGGUGCGUAACGCGUGGGAACCUGCCCUUAGGUUCGGAAUAACUCCCCGAAAGGGGUGCUAAUACCGGAUAAUGUCUUCGGACCAAAGAUUUAUCGCCUUUGGAUGGGCCCGCGUUGGAUUAGCUAGUUGGUAGGGUAAAAGCCUACCAAGGCGACGAUCCAUAGCUGGUCUGAGAGGAUGAUCAGCCACACUGGGACUGAGACACGGCCCAGACUCCUACGGGGGGGAGCAGGGGGGAAUAUUGGAAAAUGGGCGAAAGCCUGACCCAGAAAUGCCGGGUGAGGGAUGAAGGCCUUAGGGUUGAAAAGCUCUUUUACCCGGGAUGAUAAUGACAGGACCGGGAAAAAAAGCCCGGGCAAACCCCGG